rnacentral:sRNA from 2 species
UCGAGCUGUGCACCGGGCAGGAGCGGGGGAACCAGGUAGUUCGCCGUGCCCUGCUCAGCCCGUUCUUCGGGCUUUCCAGGCUGCGGCUCGGGGUGAAGCCGUCUCGUACGGCCGGGCUACCUCACGGCCCGAACCCGACAGCUCACCUCGUAGGCGUCGCAGAGGAACGCC